GACGAACGCUGGCGGCGUGCUUAACACAUGCAAGUCGAACGAUGAAGCCGGAGCUUGCUCUGGUGAAUUAGUGGCGAACGGGUGAGUAACACGUGAGUAACCUGCCCUUGACUCUGGGAUAACUGCGGGAAACUGUAGCUAAUACCGGAUACGACCCUCGGAGGCAUCUCCUGGGGGUGGAAAGAACUUCGGUCAAGGGUGGACUCGCGGCCUAUUCGCUAGUUGGUGAGGUAAAGGCUCACCAAGGCGACGACGGGUAGCCGGCCUGAGAGGGUGACCGGCCACACUGGGACUGAGACACGGCCCAGACUCCUACGGGAGGCAGCAGUGGGGAAUAUUGCACAAUGGGCGCAAGCCUGAUGCAGCAACGCCGCGUGAGGGAUGACGGCCUUCGGGUUGUAAACCUCUUUUAGCAGGGAAGAAGCGAAAGUGACGGUACCUGCAGAAAAAGCACCGGCUAACUACGUGCCAGCCGCCGCAGUAA
rnacentral:rRNA from 1 species